rnacentral:rRNA from 1 species
UGCUGUCUGGGUGCGAGCGGGGGCGGUAAUGCGGUGUGGGCUGGCGUUGUGCGGAUUUAUUGGGCGUAGAGCGAGCGGUGGUGGUUGUAUAAAGCUGAAGUAAAAGGCAGUGGCUCAACCAUUGUGUGCUUUGGAAACUGUACAACUUGAGUGCAGAAGGGGAGAGUGGAAUUCCAUGUGUAGCGGUGAAAUGCGUAGAUAUAUGGAGGAACACCGGUGGCGAAAGCGGCUCUCUGGUCUGUAACUGACACUGAGGCUCGAAAGCGUGGGGAGCAAACAGGAUUAGAUACCCUGGUCGUC